GGCAAGAUGGCCGAGUGGUCUAAGGCGUAGCAUUAAGGAAGAUAUUCCGAGUAUUCGGAAAGCCCCUGCUAUCUUCGGGCGUGGGUUCGAAUCCCACUCUUGUCA
rnacentral:tRNA from 1 species